GUGAGUAACACGUGGGCAAUCUGCCCUGCACUCUGGGACAAGCCCUGGAAACGGGGUCUAAUACCGGAUAAUACCCUCGCAGGCAUCUGUGAGGGUUAAAAGCUCCGGCGGUGCAGGAUGAGCCCGCGGCCUAUCAGCUUGUUGGUGAGGUAAUGGCUCACCAAGGCGACGACGGGUAGCCGGCCUGAGAGGGCGACCGGCCACACUGGGACUGAGACACGGCCCAGACUCCUACGGGAGGCAGCAGUGGGGAAUAUUGCACAAUGGGCGAAAGCCUGAUGCAGCGACGCCGCGUGAGGGAUGACGGCCUUCGGGUUGUAAACCUCUUUCAGCAGGGAAGAAGCGAAAGUGACGGUACCUGCAGAAGAAGCGCCGGCUAACUACGUGCCAGCAGCCGCGGUAAUACGUAGGGCGCAAGCGUUGUCCGGAAUUAUUGGGCGUAAAGAGCUCGUAGGCGGCUUGUCACGUCGAUUGUGAAAGCCCGAGGCUUAACCUCGGGUCUGCAGUCGAUACGGGCUAGCUAGAGUGUGGUAGGGGAGAUCGGAAUUCCUGGUGUAGCGGUGAAAUGCGCAGAUAUCAGGAGGAACACCGGUGGCGAAGGCGGAUCUCUGGGCCAUUACUGACGCUGAGGAGCGAAAGCGUGGGGAGCGAACAGGAUUAGAUACCCUGGUAGUCCACGCCGUAAACGGUG
rnacentral:rRNA from 1 species